ACGGAGGGUGCAAGCGUUAUCCGGAAUCAUUGGGUUUAAAGGGUCCGUAGGCGGGCAUAUAAGUCAGUGGUGAAAUGCUGUGGCUCAACCAUAGCACUGCCAUUGAUACUGUAUGUCUUGAAUUAUUGUGAAGUGGUUAGAAUAUGUAGUGUAGCGGUGAAAUGCUUAGAUAUUACAUAGAAUACCGAUUGCGAAGGCAGAUCACUAACAAUAUAUUGACGCUGAUGGACGAAAGCGUAGGUAGCGAACAGG
rnacentral:rRNA from 1 species